UAUGAAUUUCAGAAUGUUCCG
rnacentral:piRNA from 1 species